rnacentral:tRNA from 1 species
GGCAGCGGUGGGACAGACUGGUUUGAGACACCAGUCUCUUCGGAGGCGUGGGUUCGAAUCCCACCGCUGCCA